GGGUCGAGCCGCAUGGAUGCGGCGAGAGGCGUGUGGGCCAUGGAUGGCCCAUUCACGCCGGGCCC
rfam:Pseudomonas sp. Bc-h sc_006, whole genome shotgun sequence.